AACGAACGCUGGCGGCGCGCCUAAUACAUGCAAGUCGAGCGAGAAGGUGUAGCAAUACACUUGUAAAGCGGCGAACGGGUGAGGAACACAUGGGUAACCUACCCUCGAGUGGGGAAUAACUAGCCGAAAGGUUAGCUAAUACCGCAUACGAUUCCAGGACUUCGGUCCUGGAAGGAAAGCACUACCGUGGGUAGUGCGCUCCUGGAUGGGCUCAUGUCCUAUCAGCUUGUUGGGAGGUAAAGGCUCACCAAGGCUUCGACGGGUAGCUGGUCUGAGAGGACGAUCAGCCACACUGGCACCGCGACACGGGCCAGACUCCUACGGAGGCAGCAGUAAGGAAUAUUGCGCAAUGGGCGAAAGCCUGACGCAGCGACGCCGCGUGGGGGAUGAAGGUCUUCGGAUUG
rnacentral:rRNA from 1 species